AUGCAAGAAGAGCCCAAGUUCUGUUUCCCCAAAACAAAACUGGAUGACAUGAGCUUCUGUCCAGGACCGGAAAGGGUCACCAGGCUCUUCUUCUGUGUGGCUCUUUAUCUUCUGUGGGCAGGACCUGUGGAGGCCGGGAUCACCCAGGAACCAAGAUACAAGAUCACGGUGACAGGAGAGACAGUGACUCUGGAAUGUCACCAGACUGAUAGCCAUGACUAUAUGUACUGGUACCGACAAGACCUGGGACAUGGGCUGAGGCUGAUCCAUUACUCCUAUGGUGUUGGCAUCAUUGAGAAAGGAGAAAUCCCUGACGGGUACAACGUCUCGAGAUCAAAAACAGAGGAUUUCCCCCUGACCCUGGAGUCUGUUAUCCCCUCCCGGACAUCUGUGUACUUCUGUGCCAGCAGUGACUCCACAGCACUGCACAGCUGCUUCCUCUCUGCACAUAAAGCGUAG